GGAGUCGUCUUGCAAUUAGGAGGCAACUCCUUUAAAACUUCCUUCAAACUCUGCCUUAGGCAAACCCGACCUCGAAGUUCCUCUAGCACACAAAGACCUCAUGCACAGAUUUCUACGUGCCCGCGUAUCGAAGAUGCCAGGCGGACCUAAGACAUCACUGUUUGAUGACCGUUUGGAUCACAGCAGACACCUGUGAGCAUUCAUUCCGAGCCAGAGACUGUUCUAAGAAUCCGCCUGCUUGUCCAUUUAAUCCUCACGGUACUCUCACAGGACAACCAGCAACCAUUAUCCUCGCAAGGUCAAGUCACUGUCCAAGAUCACACAACGGUAACAGAGGCAGGAUGUAACCUCAGCCGGUUAGGUCUUGACCACUGUGCUGUACUACUUACUGCCUGA